UACGAAGGGGGCUAGCGUUGCUCGGAAUCACUGGGCGUAAAGGGUGCGUAGGCGGGUCUUUAAGUCAGGGGUGAAAUCCUGGAGCUCAACUCCAGAACUGCCUUUGAUACUGAGGAUCUUGAGUUCGGGAGAGGUGAGUGGAACUGCGAGUGUAGAGGUGAAAUUCGUAGAUAUUCGCAAGAACACCAGUGGCGAAGGCGGCUCACUGGCCCGAUACUGACGCUGAGGCACGAAGGUCAGGG
rnacentral:rRNA from 1 species